UGGUCAAGUUAUUAAGGGUGCAGGGCGGAUGCCUUGGCACUAGGAGCCGAUGAAGGACGUGAUAAGCUGCGAUAAGCUUCGGGGAGUUGCACGUAAACUUUGAUCCGAAGAUUUCCGAAUGAGGAAACUCACUUAGAGUAAUGUCUAAGUAUCAUUAAGUGAAUACAUAGCUUAAUGAGGGGAACUCAGGGAACUGAAACAUCUAAGUACCUGAAGGAAGAGAAAGAAAUUCGAUUCCGUAAGUAGCGGCGAGCGAACGCGGAUUAGCCCAAACCAAUAAAGUUUUCUUUAUUGGGGUUGCGGACAUAUCAUAACGAAGAGGUAUCGUAAUUGAAGAGGUUUGGAAAGACCCACCACAGAAGGUAAUAGUCCUGUAUGUUAAACGAGAAGACUUUAGAUAUGAUCCAGAGUACCACGGGACACGUGAAACCCUGUGGGAAGCAGGAGGGACCACCCUCCAAGGCUAAAUACUACCUAGUGACCGAUAGCGUAUAGUACCGUGAGGGAAAGGUGAAAAGAACCCCGGGAGGGGAGUGAAAUAGAACCUGAAACCCUGCACUUACAAGCUGUGGAAGCACAUUUCUUGUGUGACCGCGUACUUUUUGUAGAACGGGCCAACGAGUUACGUUAAGUAGCAAGGUUAAGCACUUAAGGUGCGGAGCCGUAGCGAAAGCGAGUUUUAACUGAGCGUUCAGUUACUUGACGUAGACCCGAAACCGGGCGACCUACCCAUGAGCAGGAUGAAGCGAAAGUAAAAUUUCGUGGAGGUCCGAACCCACGAGCGUUGAAAAGCUCGGGGAUGACUUGUGGGUAGCGGUGAAAUUCCAAUCGAGCCCGGAGAUAGCUGGUUCUCCCCGAAAUAGCUUUAGGGCUAGCCUCAAGGUGAGAGAUACGGAGGUAGAGCACUGAAUGUCCUAGGGGGUAUUGCACCUACCGAAGACUAUCAAACUCCGAAUGCCGUCAUCUUAUACUUGGGAGUCAGACUGUGGGUGAUAAGAUUCAUAGUCGAAAGGGCAACAGCCCAGAUCGUCAGCUAAGGUCCCUAAAUGUAAGUUAAGUGGUAAAGGAUGUGGGAUUGCACAGACAACCAGGAUGUUGGCUUAGAAGCAGCCACUCAUUCAAAGAGUGCGUAAUAGCUCACUGGUCGAGUGAUCCUGCGCCGAAGAUUUCCGGGGCUAAAACUUACUACCGAAGCUACGGCAUCAGUAAUGAUGGGUAGGGGAGCU
rnacentral:rRNA from 1 species